rnacentral:lncRNA from 1 species
GUAUCUUCUGAGGGUACAAAUUAUUUUACACCCAUGCAACAACCAGAGGGAGGGCUGGAACAAAUACAUAAAAAGACUUUUUGUAAAAGAAUCACUUCAUCCUGAUG